ACAUCUCUCCUACAUUCCUUAUCCUUAAACACAAGAAGUUGUGAAGAAGCUUUGUGAUCAAGGCUCGGGAAACUCGUAGCAACUUCGUAUCAUCGCUAUAGUGUCAUAAUUGUUGAUUGGAUUAUGGAAGAGGAUGGCGGAAUCUGGAGUUUUGAGUUACCAAGGAGCCAUGCAAGCUUAGGAAGGUGCGGAGGUAAGGACAAGCUCAGGAUAGGAAAGCCCUUCAGGCAGCAAGUUAGAGAGUAAGAUCUUGACAGGCAGAGCAGAAGAACCCUCUCAGUAGGAUCGCUAGUUUCAGCGGGACGUCAGCGAGUACCAUUAUACCGGGCUUGCUAAUUGGGUAUUUAUUGAGUCUGCAGGUUAUGUAAAUGACAGAUGUACGUACUCUUAGAGGCUCCUAGAUAGUGUAGUGGGUGUCGGAGUCAUGCAUGAUUUCAUUAUACUUAUGAUACACAUGUUAUAGCCUGGGCGGCUAUAUGAUAUUUUAAAAUGUUCAUGUUGCAGCCUUGUCGGCUAGCUUAUGUAUACAUUCGUUCACAAAGAGGUUAUGUUAUCCUUGUGUUGGGCCUU